UGAGUGUUAUGAUGAUGGAAUACACUGUUAUUCUUAGUCUAGCUCUGGUCUACCGCUGGGGAUUU
rnacentral:ncRNA from 2 species